rnacentral:rRNA from 1 species
UACGUAGGGGGCAAGCGUUGUCCGGAAUCAUUGGGCGUAAGGAGCUCGUAGGCGGUCUGUUGCGUCGGCUGUGAAAACCCGAGGCUCAACCUCGGGCCUGCAGCCGAUACGGGCAGACUAGAGUUCGGCAGGGGAGACUGGAAUUCCUGGUGUAGCGGUGAAAUGCGCAGAUAUCAGGAGGAACACCGGUGGCGAAGGCGGGU